rnacentral:rRNA from 1 species
GGGUUCACCCAUUGGUCAGGCUUAAUUGUCUGCACUGGUGAGAUGAAUCUCUACCUUCUGAGGAACUUUCAUGCCAUUUAUUUGGUGUGAUUGGAAAUCAGGACUGUUACCUUGAAAAAAUUAGAGUGUUUAAAGCAGGCUAACGUCUGAACACAUUAGCAUGGAAUAAUGAAAUAGGACGGACUGAUUCUAUUUCGUUGGUUUCUAGGAUCACCGUA